rfam:Myotis brandtii contig188727, whole genome shotgun sequence.
GUGCUCCUUCAGCAGCACAUUUACCAAAAUCGGAACAACACUGAGAUUAGCAUGGCCCCUGAGCAAGCAUGACAUACAAAUUCAUGAAGUGUUCCAUGAUCUU